rnacentral:rRNA from 1 species
AUUGAACGCUGGCGGCAUGCCUUACACAUGCAAGUCGAACGGCAGCGGGGACUUCGGUCCGCCGGCGAGUGGCGAACGGGUGAGUAAUGUAUCGGAACGUACCUUUCAGUGGGGGAUAACGUAGCGAAAGUUACGCUAAUACCGCAUAUUCUGUGAGCAGGAAAGCAGGGGAUCGCAAGACCCUGCGCUGAUUGAGCGGCCGAUAUCAGAUUAGCUAGUUGGUGGGGUAAAGGCCUACCAAGGCUACGAUCUGUAGCGGGUUUGAGAGGAUGAUCCGCCCCACUGGGACUGAGACCCGGCCCCGACUCCUACGGGAGGCAGCAGUGGGGAAUUUUGGACAAUGGGGGCAACCCUGAUCCAGCCCUGCCGCGUGAGUGAAGAAGGCCUUCGGGUUGUAAAGCUCUUUCAGACGGAAAGAAAUCGCCCGGGUGAAUAUCCCGUGUGGAUGACGGUACCGGAAGAAGAAGCACCGGCUAACUACGUG